rnacentral:lncRNA from 1 species
UUUUGUAUCACUAGUUUUGAUUUCCCUUUUAAUUUUAGAAAACAUGUUGUGAAGUUCUUAUUCAGAUGGAAAGCAAGACAUCAUCGAUUGAGAGUAAAAAAAGUAGGUAUAAUGUAUUACUGGUUAUCUUCACUUUGCUUGUCAAAAAGGGAGGAGGAGUUGGUGAGCUAGAAAGAAGGGGCCUUUUUAUAUAAGUAGAGAAGGAAAAAUAUUUUUAACAAACAUAUAUAACAUAAUAGCUGCACCAAUUAAUAUUCAUUGCAAAAGGACGGUCUAAAUCAUGUCCUUAUGCCUCCACCACCAAGAGAGGUACAUGAAGAUCAUAUUAAGAUAAAACGGUCCUUUGAUGAAUACUCAAGAAGAGCAAAAGAGAGAG